UCAACGCGCAAUACCUCCAGCGCCCAGAUUGGCUUAACGCGUGUUGUCUGCUGUCUACCUUUAUUCGCUAGAUAGACCGUCCUCGCUAGAUUUUACUUCUUGACCUCUAUAUAAUCUAAUUUGUUUAAUUCUGAUCUACAUUUUUUCUAUCCCGGGUCACAAGUGUGAAGGAAAUUUUGCCAGAGUGUCCACAAGCUGGUGAGGGCGGCGGUAGUGGUCCGUUGACGUCACAAAUAUGGAGAAGGGGGACAUUCCUCGAAGGAUUGCCCAUAAGAGGGUCGCGUUGGUGGUGGAAGUCGUACCUGCCAUGAGAUAAACGAAAAACAAAAAGAACAUCAUUUUUAGAGCUCAUUUUUAACGAAGAAGAGGGCAAUGUAGCAAGGGAUUUUCCUCAAGGAGGAAGCAUUGGUGGCAGCAACUGUUACACUUUAAACAUUAAUUGUAUCUUCACAAAAAUAUUUUAUGUUCCAGUGUUCAUUGUUUUACUCCUAGGGUGGUGAAGCUGGCCACACCUCGAAAGGCUGCCCGAAUCUCUUCAUUGAAUUGACGGAAGAUGGAAAGCCACAUGAGCAAUACAUUCCGGAAGCUGUGACAUGUGAUGAAAAGGAACUGUUUAAGGGCAUCGUCUGUGUGGGAAUGCUUUAACAAUUUUGAUAAAGUCGUCCCCAGUGCUACAGGAAAAGAUGUACCUCAAUACAUAAUAUCUUUCGAAGAAGCCUGCCUGCACCAUCUACUACUUCAAAACAUUAAAAAUUCUGGCUACAUAAAACCAACACCUGUUAAGAAAGCUUCAGUUGCAGGCGGCGUACUUGGUACCGGUUUUGAACAUAUUGUUAGAACAAGGUGUUGCUGGUGCGUCUCAUGCCAUGGAGCAAAAGCUAGAAGUUGUAAUUGUCGCACCCACUCGUGAAUUGGCCAUUCAAAUUCACCGCGAGGCGUGUAAAUUCUUCUACACUUCGGUUUUAAAGUCUGUGGUUAUAUAUGGAGGAACUCUCACGAGCCAUCAGCGGUCAAAUCUUCAAGCUGGGUGCAAUAUUUUUGUCGCGACCGCGGGGCGAUUCGAGGAUUUUCUCGACCGUGGAGUAUUUGACUUCUCGUGAGUCAGGUUUUAAAUUUGGACGAAGCUGAUCGAAUGCUUGAUACGGGUUUCGGCCUCAAUGUUGAAAAAAUUGUCAAUCAUCCAACGACGCAUCCGAAAGGCAUCCGUCGUGUUUGUAUGUUUUCGGCUACAUUCCCAGAUGAAGUACAAGCGCUGGCUGCGAUGUACAUGGAAGACUACAUAUUCGUCACAACAGGCAUUGUCGGUGGCACCAAUCCGGAUGUUAAACAGCUGUUUUUUUUCAGUGCUCGAAAAGAGAUAAGAGAUCUAAGCUGAUUGAAGUUUUACAAGAUCUCGGUGAUGCCAAGACUAUCGGUUUUUGUCGACAGCAAAAAGACGGCGGAUUUCGUCGCUGCAUUCUCGUGCAAUAACAACUUACAAUCUACCAGCAUCCAUGGUGAGCGUAAACGAAAAUCGUAAAUGUCUCUUCCGAAGCUUCUGUCAGAAGAAUAUGCUAGCAAUCAACUCACGAAUCAUGUAAGAUGAACAAUAAAAGCCGAUGUCGAAGUGCCGAAGAAAACAACACGUCGAGGUGCUGUCAAACGUGUCUCCGUUCCGGAGAAGGAAGCGCCGGAAGGCAAAAGGUGUCGUGGUGAAACGAAAGCCAAUAAAUACGUUGCUGGAUUGGAUGUAGAAAUGUUACAUGAAGGCAAAGGACACGCUGCCGACAUCCACGCCAAUCACGUGCCAGAUGAGCCGGAGGCGAACGAUGGAUCGCCAGUCACAUCCGUCAAAAGUGGACGAUCUACUUGCGCAAAGGGUGCCCUCAAAGUUCAUCUUGACGUGGCCGAAACGGCGCAUUCGCCAGUCAGAUCCACCCGUUCGGCGCGGAAGACGGCUUCACCGGCCGAGAAGAAAGUCUCUGUCCAGCUGGAACGCGAACCCGACAUUGAGACUUUGGCCGCUACAGCCAAAGAAGAGGAAGAGAAAGCACCGGCCGCCAAACGUUCACGACAAAAGAAGGGCUCGGUAGCAUCUGCCUCAACAAAGGCGGAUGAAUCUCCAGCCGUGCCGGCCAUGAAACGGGACACGUGGUGGCAAGAAAACAACUAGCGAACUUGAGCUUGUUAAGGAGGAUACCCCAUCGCCACCAUCACCUCGACGUACUAGAAACAUCUAACAGCAAGACCCAUCAAUGAAUUACCUAUUUUAUUUUUAUUUUGUUUUACUCAUAAUUUUUACCGAUUGAAUAAUUGGUUCACAUAUCCGAUUCUAUUCUGCUUUUGGGUUCACUGCUGUACCUCUUUCCCCAAGUUGACCUCAUUACGUGUUCCUAUCCAUGCGUUGAGGCUCACUUGAUUAUAAUUUUUGUUCUUUAAAUUUUGUUUCCAAUUUUCAUUCUGAGCGACGCCCAAUAAUUUUGAAAAAAUACAUAUUUUGGUACGGUUGGUUAAGUAUUUCACAAUUGGCACGGAUUUGUGUGUGUGUGUUACUGAUGUUGGUGGACCUACUGCACGAGAGCCGCAACACGAAUUUAUCUUUCCCAACAAUACAAAACUUACCAUUGUAAACCCGAA